GGCCGUCGUCAGUUCGUACUGUGAAGCAUCCUGUUAAGUCAGGCAACGAGCGAGACCCACGCCCACAGUUGCCAGCGUACUCUCCGGAGUGACGGGUACACUGUGGGGACCGCCGCUGCUAAAGCGGAGGAAGGAAUGGGCAACGGUAGGUCAGUAUGCCCCGAAUAUCCCGGGCUACACGCGAGCUACAAUGGUUGGUACAAUGGGUAUCUACCCCGAAAGGGGACGGGAAUCUCCUAAAACCAAUCUUAGUUCGGAUUGAGGGCUGCAACUCGCCCUCAUGAAGCUGGAAUCCGUAGUAAUCGCGUUUCAACAGAACGCGGUGAAUACGUCCCUGCUCCUU
rnacentral:rRNA from 1 species